ensembl:ncRNA K04H4.11 ncRNA
AUAUUUCAAGCGUGCUCAGAGACUCUAGAUGGGAUUCUGGAAGUCUAUAAGUCUAAGCUUCUAGGCAAAUAGGAAAAUGGUGAAGCUAUGGAUCGGCUUGUUAAGGACUAGAAGUCUAUAUAGAGCAUGCA